AUAACAAGCUUCGACCUUGAGUUGGCCGAAGCAAGAGCUUUUAUAGCAGCCUGACUAUCUGACAUACUUUACAAACAGACGUCCACUUCUCAAGUGAAGGGAGUUGUUGGUAGCGCCCCGUCGAUGAAGAGUGAGUCGAUAUCCCCACAUGACUCAAUUUUGACAUGUACCACACCCGAUGCCAUCGAGGGGAUUGCAGAAACGUAAAUAAUAAUAAGAAACAAAAAAAAACAUCAUUCCACCAAAUAGCCACAAGUUUACAUGAAAGUUUAAGUAAUAGGAGUUGAAUUACGUGCCCUAAGUUAAUUAUUUAACAAUUAUAAUAGCUAAUAUCAGUUAGAAUUAUCUACCUGCAGUGCAAUACUGAUUCAGAGUGCUCUAAAGCACCGGUUUAGUUUGUUUAGCGUGAAUUUGUAUUGAACUAGGUGAAAAACAGGGAAAUCUGGACGGUAAGCAUUCCGUAGUUGUCGAAAACGUUAUCCGAGCAAGUGCGACUCAGAGGGGUUCACAAUCGUCGCGAAAAGGAGCACUGUUGCGAAGGAAUAUUCCGAGGCUAGAUCGCUAAAAGUAAGUCGAGCUAUGUGUGAAUAAGUCUAGAUAAUGAUUGCCUUGUUUUUUGUAGGAAUUUUAUAAUUUAUCAAUUACGCCGAAUAAAUU